AUCUCGGCUCACUGCAAGCUCCACCUCCAGGGUUCACGCCAUUCUCCUGCCUCAGCCUCCCGAGUAGCUGGGACUACAGGCGCCUGCCACCAUGGCCAGGUAAUUUUUUGUAUUUUUAGUAGAGACGAGGUUUCACCGUGUUAGCCAGGAUGGUCUCGAUCUCCUGACCUCGUGAUCCGCCGACCUCGGCCUCCCAAAGUGCCGGGAUUACAGGCGUGAGCCACCGCGCCCGGCCCAUGUUUAUUUCUUUUUCUCCCCGUACCCCUACUUUUUUUUGAAACAGUGUCUUGCUCUGUCGCCCAGGUUGGAGUGCAGUGCGGGAUCAUAGCUCACUACAGCCUCGACCUUCUGGGCUUAAACGAUCCUCCCACCUCAGCCUCACAGUGCUCCAAGAAUACAGGCAUGAGCCAUGACACCUGGCCUCUUUCCCCUUCUUUAGUUCACUCACUGGUCUCUAUCAUUUCCUCUCUCUUCUCCACUCCUUCCCCAGGUUUCUGUCUCCUUGUUUCUCUUUUUCUUUCAGUUACCAGAAUUCUUACCGCUGGGCCUGGAAGAAAGAGCACUCAGGCCAAGUUUGUGAAAUCCCUCCUGGUUGCUGUGUGGAGCCCUAGUUCAUCCACAUUUCCAACAGCUGAGUCUUCCGCACAACGGGAAAAGCACCAUUAAUUUCACUCUCCUAUCUUGGAGCAUUUAGAUCAUUUCCUGGUUUUGCUUCUUACAAACAGAGCUGCUAUGAACAUCCCUACCUGGAACUCAGGGGCCACUUUUCUCUAGGGACACAUUCAUCUGUCUGCUAGAUGCUUUUUUCUAAAACUCUACUUUCAUUUUAAAAAUUAUGACAUGGCUAUACUUGCUCAGGCCUCUAAGAUGGCAUCCUAGGACCUACUGAAUGGAGUCCCAGCAUCUCAAGGAAGGAAUGCCAGAAGCCAGAACAUCCAAGUAACAAUCUCCACCUGCAGCUGAUGCUCUCUGGGACCCAGGACCAGCCACUCUUCUCUGUGCCCCACUUUCCUCCUUUGUAAUCUAAUUACCCAGUGAUGACCAGGAUAUAAGAGGACUUGUCUGCAUUGUCUCAUGGCCACAACCACAAGAAGAGCGUCCUGCUGUCACCCCCAUUUUAUAAAUAGGGAAACUAGGUCAGGCAUGGUGGCUCACACCUGUAAUCCUAGAGCUUUGAGAGGCCAAGGCGGGAGGAACAGUUGAGACAGCAGUUUGAGACCAGCCUGGGCAACAUAGCAAGAACUCCGUCUUGACAAAAAAAAAAAAAAUUUUUUUUAAAUUAACUGGGCAUGGUGGCACACACCUGUUGUUCCAACUAUUCGAGAGGCUGAGAUGGGAGGAUCAUUUGAGCCCAGGAGAUCGAGGCUGCAGUGAGCUAGGAUCAUGCCACUGCACUCCAGCCUGGACAACAGAGUGAGACCUUAUCUCUAAAAAAUAAGAAAACUGAGGCACAGAGAAGUUAAGUAACGUGCUCAAGGUCAUGCAACUAGUAAGUGGCAGAGCCUACGUGCUUUCCCUUCAUUAAUUCAGUCAUUUAUUCAACAACUAUUUUAUUGAACAUCCACUAUGUACCCAGCCUCGGCAGUGAUCAAGAUACCCAAGAUCCUAGAUUUUACAAAAUCCACCACUUAAAAGCAGAGCAUGGGAUGGAAAGGAGACAAAAAUUAUUGUGUCUAACUUAUUUGUUAAUUUGCCUAUGGGCAGCAAUAAGUGCCAUGGGGGGAAAAAAGGUAGAGUAAUAGGAACUACUUUGGUCAGGGAAGUCCUCUCUGCAGAGUGGAGACCUCACUGUCAAGGAGAAAACAGCCAAGCAAAGGCCUAAAUCAAGGGUGUUACAAGAGAAAGGAAAAGGCAGGAGUAGAGAGGCCCCAUUGUCAGAGGCGUUUAAACCAGAGUGACUCCAUCUUGACCAGGAGCUGGGUACAAUGAGGCUGAAACCUACUGGGCUGCAUUCCCAGAUGGUUAGGCAUUCUGAGUCACAGGAUAAGAUAGGAGGUCUGCACAAAAUACAGGUCAUAAAGACCUUGCUGAUAAAACAGGAUAAGUAAAGAAGCCAGCCAAAACCCACCAAAACCAAGAUGGUGACGAGAGUGACCUGUGGUCGCCCUCACUGCUGCACUCCCACCCGCGUCAUGACAGUUUACAAAUGCCAUGGCAAUGUCAAGAAGUUACCCAAAAGGGCCAAAAAGGAGGAGGCAUAAAUAAUCCACCCCUUGUUUAGCAUAUCAUCAAGAAAUAACCAUAAAAAUGGGCAACCAGCAGCCCUUGGAUCUGCUCUGCCUAUGGAGUAGCCAUUCUUUCAUUCCUUUACUUUCCUAAUAAACUUGC
rnacentral:lncRNA from 1 species